rnacentral:rRNA from 1 species
AAAUUGAAGAGUUUGAUCAUGGCUCAGAUUGAACGCUGGGGGCAGGCCUAACACAUGCAAGUCGAACGGUAACAGGAAGCAGCUUGCUGCUUCGCUGACGAGUGGCGGACGGGUGAGUAAUGUCUGGGAAACUGCCUGAUGGAGGGGGAUAACUACUGGAAACGGUGGCUAAUAACGCAUAACGUCGCAAGACCAAAGAGGGGGACCUUCGGGCCUCUUG